rnacentral:rRNA from 1 species
UCGAGGAUCUUCGGCAAUGGGCGCAAGCCUGACCGAGCGACGCCGCGUGUGGGAUGAAGGCCUUCGGGUUGUAAACCACUGUCAGUGGGGAGGAAAUAUUACGGGGUUCUCCUCGUAGUUUGACCUAUCCGCAGAGGAAGUACGGGCUAAGUUCGUGCCAGCAGCCGCGGUAAGACGAACCGUACAAACGUUAUUCGGAAUCACUGGGCUUAAAGGGUGCGUAGGCUGUCCGGUAAGUUGGGUGUGAAAGCCCUCGGCUCAACCGAGGAAUUGCGCUCAAUACUGCCGGACUUGAGGAAGACAGAGGUGAGCGGAACUUAGGGUGGAGCGGUGAAAUGCGUUGAUAUCCUAAGGAACACCUGGGGCGAAAGCGGCUCACUGGGUCUUCUCUGACGCUGAGGCACGAAAGCUAGGGUAGCGAACG